CCUACGGGUGGCAGCAGUGGGGAAUAUUGGGCAAUGGGCGCAAGCCUGACCCAGCAACGCCGCGUGAAGGAAGAAGGCUUUCGGGUUGUAAACUUCUUUUCUCAGGGACGAAGCAAGUGACGGUACCUGAGGAAUAAGCCACGGCUAACUACGUGCCAGCAGCCGCGGUAAUACGUAGGAUGCGAGCGUUAUCCGGAUUUAUUGUGUUUAAAGGGUGCGCAGGCGGAGGCACAAGUCAGCGGUAAAAUCGCGGGGCUCAACCCCGCUCCGCCGUUGAAACUGUGUCCCUGGAGUGCGCGAAGGGUAGGCGGAAGGCGUGGUGUAGCGGUGAAAUGCAGAGAUAUCACGCAGAACUCCGAUCGCGAAGGCAGCCUACCGGCGCGCAACUGACGCUCAUGCACGAAAGCGUGGGUAUCGAACAGGAUUAGAUACCCUGGUAGUC
rnacentral:rRNA from 1 species